rnacentral:sRNA from 1 species
UAAGAAACACACCCCUACUUCAUUUUGUUCAAGUUUUUGUUCAUUUUUUAACGAACAUUACUUCCCCUUCAGUUUUUAUCUUUUGUAAUUAGCUCUUUUGAUGUAUUAAAUACAUGACAUUAUAAUUUACAAGUUGAAAUCCAGUGACAAUGCAGAAUUAAAUCCUAAAUAUUCCGACUCCUUGAAAACCUUGUCAGUUUUUAGUUUUUACACUUUUCUUGGGGCGCCUAUACGAUAUAUACAGAAACUUCAAUUAUUGCAAUCUUGCACACUAAACAUUUGGAAUUUUUUGUGGGUGUACCCUGUACCUUUUUUGUCUCCCAUGAUUUUUCAAUUCAUAUUACUUGCCUAGGUUACGGAAUGUUUGCUUGCUUCAUUUAUCAUGCGCGCGUGGACUUUGUUCAAUUACUUACGAAAUAUUUUUCAAAUUUAUUUUUUUUUUUUUGCAAUAUUUUGAUUGUUUUUUUUUCUUCCCUCUCUAUUUAAUGGAUGAAAAGAUGGACUUCAGUAUUAAGAUAACCCUAGAGAAUUUUGUCAAUAUUGCCUUGGCAAGGACUUCAAUAUUGUGUGAAAAUAUGAUUUGUCAGUCGUUUUAGUUUGGUAAAUCAGUUCUCAAACAACGAAUGUUUCCACCAUUUUUUAUGGGUUUUGUCUUGCUUCUACCAUCAAUAUGCCGAGUGUUACUCUUUCUGUCCACAGAGAAAAUUUUAUUCGUUCAAGACUGAAAACAUAAGACAAUUUUCUUGGGUUAAUCUUAUUUUGUGUAACUAUUAUAUUUCAAUAUUGUGCUUUCAAUAUAUUGUGUAGCUUUGUUUCAUGGAUUUAGAGAUCUUAAUUAGAUAUAAAAUAUCGUUAUCAUGCGUAUGAUCUCUGAUUUUUUCCAAUUUGAGAAUAAAUGUUAUAC